GGCAAGCGGAUCUCUUAAAGCCGUUCUCAGUUCGGACUGCAGUCUGCAACUCGACUGCACGAAGCUGGAAUCGCUAGUAAUCGCGGAUCAGCACGCCGCGGUGAAUACGUUCCCGGGCCUUGUACACACCGCCCGUCACACCAUGGAAGUCUGCAAUGCCCGAAGCCGGUGGCCUAACCACUUAUGUGGAAGGAGCCGUCUAAGGCAGGGCAGAUGACUGGGGUGAAGUCGUAACAAGGUAUC
rnacentral:rRNA from 1 species